AACGCGAAGAACCUUACCUGGGCUCGAAAUGCAGUGGACCGGGGUAGAAAUAUCCCUUCCCCUUAAAAGGCUGCUGCAUAGGUGCUGCAUGGCUGUCGUCAGCUCGUGUCGUGAGAUGUUGGGUUAAGUCCCGCAACGAGCGCAACCCUUAUCCCUAGUUGCCAUCGGGUCAAGCCGGGCACUCUAGUGAAACCGCCCCGGAUAACGGGGAGGAAGGUGGGGAUGACGUCAAGUCCUCAUGGCCUUUAUGUCCAGGGCUACACACGUGCUACAAUGGUCGGUACAAACCGUCGCAAACCCGCGAGGGGGAGCUAAUCGGAAAAAGCCGGCCUCAGUUCGGAUUGGAGUCUGCAACUCGACUCCAUGAAGCUGGAAUCGCUAGUAAUCGCGGAUCAGAACGCCGCGGUGAAUACGUUCCCGGGCCUUGUACACACCGCACGA
rnacentral:rRNA from 1 species